rnacentral:rRNA from 1 species
GACGAACGCUGGCGGCGUGCUUAACACAUGCAAGUCGAACGGAAAGGCCCUGCUUUCGGGGUACUCGAGUUGCGGACGGGUGAGUAACACGUGGGUGGUCUGCCCUGCACUUCGGGUUAGGCCUGGUAGACUGGGUCUAAUACCGGAUAGGAGCCAUUUUGAGCGUGAUGGUUGGAAAGUUUUUUCGGGGUAGGAUGAGCUCGCGGCCUAGCAGCUUGUUGGUGGGGUAAUGGCCUACCAAGGCGGCGACGGGUAGCCGGCCUGAGUGGGUGGACGGCCACACUGGGACCCAGAGACGGGCAAGACUACGAAGGGAGGCAGAAGUGGGGAAUAUUGCACAAUGGGCGCCCGCGUGAUGCAGCGAGGCCGCGGGGGCGAAAACCGCCUUUGGGAUGUAAAAACAUUUCGCUAGGUAAGAAGGUUUUUGUGACGGUACCUAGAUCAGAAGCCCCGGCUAACUACGUG